AUUGUCUAUGUCAAUGUCCGUGUCUACAUCAAUGUCCAAGUCAAGCCCCGUCCAAGUCCUCGUGUACCCGUCCCUUCGCUUAAUUUUGGAGAAGUCAUGUUGUGGAAAAAAACCUGCGGGUGGCCAUUGGAGGUGCAACCGCAUUGGCAGCAUUCUUUGACGGCAGUGAACAUGAAAAUGACAACGGAUGGCGUCCACACAAGAGGAAGGAAAAACGUGGCCUUCGCUUCUACAACAUGUUCCGGUGUCAGAGAGCAAGAGCACAAGACUGUUCAUUUUGACUUUCUCAGUUUACUUUCUUAACUUUGUUGUUUUUAUUUUCAACAAA